CACUGAGAGCAACUUCCUUCUUCACCAGAUGGAAACAAGAUGGAGGCGUCAGAUUUUAGUGUUGGAGGAUUUCUCUUUAGUCUUUGGCUGAAGACCAUUUCUGCUGCUAACGCUAGGCUAGCAGGUUAGCUUUGGUUGUAUUUAUCCGCUUGGCGUCCAUAUGCAUCAAACCGCUCCAGAGAUUGGUGGAUGAAAAGCAGCUUCCUGUUUCCAGUUCGUCUCCCCAAGACUGUCAUCCGAACGGAAAAAAUCAAGGAGGAGAAAAGAGGAAAUCCUACCAGCUCACCAAAACCCGACUGAGUCCGAGGUUCGGUCCGAGAACUUCACAUCAGAACACCGAGCGGUUCGUCAUGUUCAAGUUCUAAACAGGGAUUCUCACCUGGUGCUCCAACUUCCUCUCUCAAUCUGAAAGUCGUUGCUGCGUCCAGACAAAAUGCCGGACCUCAGCAUGGAUCCGACCGAUGCUUGGAACUGAAACUCCUCUGAUGGGACGCAGACAAUUCGAUCGGAAAGGAGCUGAAGGAUCCAGGAAGUGGUUGCGUCAUCAGGCGGUUGCCAAGGCAACCAAAAGUUGGAGGUAAUAAAAGCAGUUUGAGUGAAGGUUUUUGACCAAAUCGAAUAUUUUCCUUAUUUACUUCUUGCCUCGUUUUGCCGUUUCUUUCACUGAGUGUUGUUUAUGAGUCAGCGAUCAUUUCAGAUUAAAAAUGAUGGACGGCUUGGCUUGAGGUUGGAGUUAGGAAGAAUAAAAGUUUGAUUUCUGUUGGGGUAAAGAGUUCAUCUGCUACAAAAUGUUAUUUGUUUCUGCGUUCAUCGUGUCCCGAUCAUUUAUUUGUUCCAGACGUUUAAUCCUCUGGACAGCGAUUAAAAAUCCAGAUCCUGAGAGACAAAACUGGCUGCUGCUCCUGAGAAGAGUCCCGCUUAAACUCGGCUUCUUCGCUCCAGCAAGAGCCAUAAAAACUAAUUUUCAAAAUCAUCAAAUUGGCUUUAUGUAAUUGUUUAUGAAGGACAUAAAAGGCUCUAAUGAAGCAGGGUCAUAAAUUUGUCACAGCUGCAUUUGUUCGGUUGGAACAAUGAGUCAUUAUUGCUCUGCAUGCCCACAAACACGACACAUAGCCGCUUUAAUGUGACUC